CCCUAUUUUAAUUUAUAUUAUAUCGAAUCUAUUCCCCUUCUUCCGAAUGCAAAGAAUAAAUCAUCUAAACUCACAUAACAUAUGGCCAAUAAUUAUGGAAGCAAUCAAAUCAUAUAAAUCAAACAAUUGUCCAACUGAAACUUUAUAUUGAAUUUAUGAAAUAAAGGAAAUUAAAUAAUCAAAGGUUCAUCGAUUUCCUAAUGAAUAAAAACCCUAGCCUAUGAUCAUAAUUACAGAAUCAAGAAUUAAAACGAAAUUAAAAGAUAUAAAGAAUACACUCGUAUGAUAAUCCUUCAAUUUUGUGUGUAAUCUUCAAUUCAUUCUUGAAUCCUUGUGAAAUCAAG
rnacentral:lncRNA from 1 species